GACGCUGCUCCUCCCCCUGCCGAGAUCUUCCCCCGCCGAGCGAGCUCUGCCCCGACGAGCACGGAUCGGCCGCCACAGCCAACAUCCUCCCUGCGGACCAGUUCCCCAUCUCGCCCCAAGGUUCGACAUCCAAUUUUUAUGCUGAUAAGAUCCAGAUCCAUUUCAACAGCACCCCCUCUCCCGUCUCCUUCUCGCACCCGUCGUUCCCCGCGUCCGUGCCCCUCCACUUCGAUGGCGUCGGCGGCGGGCUCCCACCACCAUUGAUAGCGAGUGGCGCCGCCCCUCUCCCAACCCUCGGCGGCGCGGCCCUGCUAUUCCCCAACGAUGGCGGCGGUCCCUCCAUUUGCAUCGUCCCCGACAGCAGAUCCGGCGGUGCUCGCUCCUGGGUCCUGGUAGUGGCGUCCCCAUCCCAAUCAGCGGCGUGGAGAGUGCGGGGCUAUGUGAAUGACGACAGUCCCUUCCGGGGGAAUUUUUCUUCUCCAAUCUUGUGUCUGCAGGGCAGGUCCUGUUCUUCAUGCAAGGCGACAGCAACUUCAAUGUGUUUGUGACAAUUAGCGCCCUGCGAUGUGAGACAUCAUGUGCACUUGGCUACUACGGAAGUUGUAUCGAUGGUGAUUUCGACAUAGAGGUUCUCAGCCUGUUCGUGCUCAGUGAACAGUUCAUAUAUGACUAGGAGAUGACAAGCUCCAGCAGGUGUUUUGGUAUUUUCAGGUUAUUUUUUCAGAAAAUAGUAGUAUCUCUGCAUACGUUUUUCAAUUAGUGUAUUGGUGAAUACUUCGCAUCACUGAUUAGAGUAUUAGUUGAUACUUGCUAGGAUUAAAAUAAUACUUUUCUAAUAUGCAUAUGCAGGAAGAAUCGUUACCGGCCUGAUGCUGGCUGCAUACAGUGUGGUAUGUAUGAAUAAAUGAAGUUUCUUUUGCAUUCAUUGGUCACAAAAACUUUUAGAUUAUUGGUCGGAAUGUGCCUGCUGGAAAGACUUGCCAUACUGUUGGUAGUAUGUUAUAUUAUUCCUUUUUUUUAGUUUUCAACCUCUCUGUACAUUUGGAGGGAUUUUGUAAUUAAAUUUUCCAUAUAGCUUGAAACAUAGUAUGUGUAUAUA